rnacentral:rRNA from 1 species
UACAGAGGUCUCAAGCGUUGCUCGGAUUCAUUGGGCGUAAAGGGUGCGUAGGUGGCGCCGUAAGUCGGGUGUGAAAUUUCGGAGCUUAACUCCGAAACUGCAUUCGAUACUGCGGUGCUUGAGGACUGGAGAGGAGACUGGAAUUCAUGGUGUAGCAGUGAAAUGCGUAGAGAUCAUGAGGAAGACCAGUGGCGAAGGCGGGUCUCUGGACAGUUCCUGGCACUGAGGCACGAAGGCCAGGGGAGCAAACGGG